rnacentral:lncRNA from 1 species
GUUCCCAAACCUAAAUCAAAAAUUAGAUUUAGGGUUCCUCUCACCUCUGUGCGACUGCUGCCUUCUUCCUCAGCUCGACUAUGACACCUUCUUCCUCAGCUCGUCGCUCAUCCUUCUUCCUUAGGUUAGUGCGACUUCUUCUGAGUUCUGAGUUCCUUUUCAGUUUUCUUCCUCUAUUCCUCAGCUCAUUCGAUUUUGGUGAAAAUUUUUUGUGUUGAUUAUUCCGCUAAGUUAAAGUCAGCAUGUAACUUUCUUAUAUUGAUCCCUUUCUAUGCUACGUUAUUUUGUUAAAUAGGAACAUGGAUUUGACGGGUUUCAUUAAUCUCUCAACAAUUUUCUAUGUUCUGUUUGGACUUGAAAGGUUAGCUUGUUUGUGAAAUCCAGUAGUUCGUAUAUUGCUAGCUUCUUGGACUUGAAAGGUUAAUUGUUAUAUUGUGAAAUCCUGCUAGUGGAUGCUGCCAGAAGUUAAUUGUUAUUUUGUUAAUUGUUAUUUUGUUCAUGUUGCUAGUGGACUUGAAAGGUUAAUACCUGAUUGAUGAAGCAACAGCUGCAGCAACUCUGAACAUUUUCCAAUAAUUUCAAUGUGUUAAUUGAUAAAAUAGGAGCAAAAUUGCAUAUUUCAGAGUAAGAGAAAAUGGGAGAAUUGAGAAGAAACCCAUAACUGAUACAUAAGUUCUUCACGCUCUCACUGUUUCGUGUUUUAAUGCUUUCCGUAGGGUUUAAGGUUUAACUUUAACAAUUAUUAUUUUGUUCAUGUUUGGAUGCUACAACGUUAUGCCCACUGCCCAGUUUUUAUAUUGUGCAAAAAACCCUGGAAGUUUAUGACCACUGGAAGUAAAUCCAGAUAUAAAAAUCUUGAACCGUUAAUAAUCAAAAAACUAAAUCGAAAAUAACCGAACCGAACUUUGAAAAAAUCGCACCGAACCGUAAAUACUUUAGUUUGAUUUGGUUAUUAAUAUUACAAAAUCGAAAAUCGAUAAAGCGAAUCGUACUUUCAUAAUAACCGACCGAACCGACAUACCGACGCCCACCAUUACCUCAAGUUGAGGAAAUACAGUAUUUUUUGAGGGGAAAAAUACUUUUGACUUUGAGAGAAGCUUGGCCAAACAGACUAUAAAUGAUUAUAAUGAUCGACUAGCUCUUUCAACCUUUGACUGAUCAAUAGAAAAAUAAUUAACUAUAACCAUUUGAAAUGAACUUUAUCAACUUGUUCUAGCAAAGAGAGACUCUUUUUAAGGUAAGUAGUUUUUUUUUUGUCAACUGACGAAAUUAUAUUAUAUUAAAGAUGAGUGCCAAUACAAGGAGCAUCGUGGAUGCUUUGCAGAUUGUUACAAAAAGAAGUAGUGUCCUGACCAUUCAAAUGGUUCCUAGGAGGUGCUACAAUAUUAUUGCCACUAUCAUGUUCAGUAAUACAAAAAUACAUGUUGUUUGUUGAUGUAGACAUCGUUGUGUUUUUUAAGUAGGCAAUGCCCAGUUGAUCAUCCCUAAUUUGUUGAUUCAAAAAGUUUGGUGGUUGGUGCAAAAUGAGAGUGCUCCGGUGAGUUUUGUGUGGCUCCAUAUUGUGUAAAUUCAUCUGCAACACGAUUCUGCUCCCUGUAUGUGUGCGUAAUGCACAUGUUACCUAGUUGGCGUAGCAAGUACCUACAUUCCAGCAACAAAGAUGAGCAGUGCAAAUUGUGGUUGUUAAUUAACAUAGAUAUUACCUCUGUGGAAUCCACGUUGAUUUCUAAUGGAACGAAGUGAUGAUGCCAUGCUAAUUGUAGUCCUUGUAGUAGUGCACAUAAUUCCAUAUAUGUAGAGUUUCCUGUGGGUCUUGCGCCCAUGAAUCCAAGUAUCCAAUUGCAUGUAUCAUUUCUAAAAACUCUGCCUAUUCCAUUUCUGGGGGGCGUCCUUCAGAAGAUCCGUCGGUGUUUAAUUUAAUAACCCCAUUUGUUUGUGGGUGCCAUUUUUUAUACAUGGGUGUGAUGGUCGAUUUUUGUGUCUUUUCCUGGAUACUAUAUCCAGCUGGUUGAAAAAUUAAUUGCUGAAUUUUCGAGGUGUGUGGGUGGUGUUUAAAGAUAAAUAGGUUACAGAGGUUCCAUAUAUGCCAUGUUGUAUAUGGAAUUAAUAAUCGUGAUGGUAAGUUAGCUGUAGAUUAUUAGUGGUGAGUGAUAGUGUGGGACUCAUUUUACUUCCCCUUACGAUCUAGUUGCGGGCCUAGGUUGUCAUAAAUACUAUGAUGAGUGAGUCACACAAAGUGAAUUUUGAAAAUUGACCGCGGAUCGUGAUAAUAGCUCACGUGGUAUUUAGUUCGAGGAGAAGACUUGUGGAUCGCGGUGAUGGACCUCGAGGGGAUUGUUGGGGGUAUGAAAGCUGAAACGAUUGGGAGCCUACCUAUAAGGUGUAAGGAUCUCUUAAUUGUGUGAGACCUUUUAGAAAAAAUCGUUUGGGCUUGGCCCAAAGCAGAUAAUAUCACAUCAUGUUAAGAUUUAGCCCAACAAUUCUAUAAUAAACUUAAGUAUUACUCCCUCUGUUUCAAUUUAGAUGAAGUAGUUUGAAUCGGUACGGAGUUUAAGAAAAGAAAAAAAAACUUUUGAAACUUGUGGUCUUACAAGGUUAAGGGGUAAAAACUUUGUUGAGCCAUGACCUUUGUGUGGUUAUAAAAGCUUCUCAUUAAGGGUAAAAUAGGUAAAAUGAAGAGUUUAAAGUUGAAUUAUUUUCAAUUGUAGAAAUGUGUCAUUGUGUCAUUCUUUUUGAAAAAGACUAAUAAGGAAAGUGUGUCAUCUAACUUGAAACAGAGGGAGUAUUGUAUAUUAACUUGAGGCUGAUAUGAAAACUCAAAAAAUUUAAAUUUUGGAUCUGCAUGUAAUGCAAGGAGGCACUCACAAACCAGUAUCCAUGAAACCACCUUUAUUUCUAUUGGCUCUAAUGGUUUACACGCCCCCCCCCCCCCCCCCAAACCACUCUAUGUAUGUAUGUAUGUAUGUAUCACCCGUGAAUUGAAUCUGCAUCAAAUGGAUAGGAGUAAUAUUUUUUGUUCUAUUAUUUGCAGGUAGAUUUUUUUUUCUUUGUCCCUACUGCAAGCAUUCUAGUGGAUCAUAUUUUUCCGAUUACAAGCAACUUGUUUACUAAACAACAGAGUUGGUCAGGGUUAGAUGAAUCUUAUAUAUUCAUGCCAAACAAAAUUAAUGCCGGUGCCAAAGCUGCCUCAAUUUGUUUUUACGUUCUGAAAUUGUGACAAUAUAUAUCUUAUUAUUUGAGUAAUUCUUUUCAUAUAUAGCUUUGUCGUCGCUACUCUAAAUAAAGGGUUCUUUACCUCUCCUUUUUUCCUGGUCAAAAAAAGAUUACUUUACUGUUAAACGACAUCAUAUGUCCAAAGGAGUGUAAAACGCCAUUUACAAGUCAAUUAGGAAAGACAGUCUCUCAAG